UGCUACUAUGCCACCAACCGUCCACUCCACGUACUCCCACACCACCCACCCCGAGCCAGAUCUAGAUCGAGACCCCCUGCACCAGCGGCCUCCCGUCCAACCUUCCUCAACCUCCUCUCCUCUGCUGUCCACCGGAGGCCCCUGCACACACGGGAAACUGCUGCUCGGCAUCUCCAGCAGCCAAGGCCGGGCUCCCGGCCUGUGCGCAGCGUCGUCUCUUCCUUCCCCGUCGCCAUCUGUCACCGUCGUCGUCGCGGUCCGGCCCUCCACGCCGCAGCGAUAAGCACGCAAGCACGCACGCUGCCGCUCCCCUGCCUCUCUCCCCGUCCAUCUCCGUCGAUUCCCUUUGUCGGCGUCGGCGGGGAUCGGCCUAGUGGACUGCGGUUCCCGCUUUGGUGGGUGGGGUCACAACUGAUUUGGCAUGACGGUGGCGAGCGUCGAUCGAUCGAUUGCAAGCCCCUGAUGUUGUGCUCGCUUCGCUGUGUCAUCUAAAGAUUACUAGUUCUGUUCAUGAUCUGUUCAGUGUUAUUUUAUUACUGCAUUGGUAGGGAUCUAGCGCACUGCCACCCAGUUUAUUUUUUGCAUAGUGCGUUGAUUCCAGGCUCGCUGAUGUGUAGGAGCGAUUCAUGUUGUUCUACAGAUCGUCACCGAUAAUACGGGGUGAAGAGGAAAAGGCUCAUGAAACCCAGUAAAUUUCUUGCUGGUUUAGUGCGCUUGUGUCAUCUUGUAUAUUAUAUUAGGAGAAAACGCCCUUCCAUGCUUCUUGUACUAAUUCUGAUUCUUAGGUUUUUACUUGUUGCUUUUCUAGGCAUGUGUGUGUUCUUGUAGAUUCACACAAAGAAAUACCUGCUACGUGCAGGUUGGUUGUGGGGUUCGUUUGCUAUUUUUCUUAGUCCUUCCAUGUGCAAGAGAGGUAGUAGCUCUCUACCUUCAACGAAGUAGCCACAUGGUUGACUACCAAACCUUAUACUUAUGUUGUUGCUUGUUGGCCUGCUCCGUAUAGUUGUCAUGCUUGUGGUCGAUUCAGCCGGGGAUCAACAACGCCGUCAUCGCCGGUGGCAUGGAUACCAUGUCCAAUGCCCCCAAAUACGCUGCAACAGCAAGGUUCCUACUAACUUAAGAAGAAUGGCUCUCUAACUGUCGGCAGCUCUUCUAGUAUAAAGUUUGUUGUUUACGUAUUCUGACUAGUCGUUUACUAUCUCUGUAGAUAGUUUCUUACUUUCUUAGAUGGAAACCUCGCAGAGUAGUUAGUGUGCAGCCAGAGUCCAGUAUGAUAUCUCAAUCUUGAGUAAAGCAUUUGAAUUUAAGCUAGUAGAUAUUGAGCUCUAUGAUUGAAGUGUCUCUGUUGAAUACAUCUAUUCUGGAAAAAAAACACAUUUGCUUCUAUGAUAAGUAAGGUCUGUUUUCAUUUACAGGUAGAAGAUAGCAAUGGAGUGGUAAGAUUUGUGCAGAGAUCUUCUCCUCCGUCGCCGUCCGCGACAAAGCUACUGGGUGCAUCCGUCCAUCUUCAGAUCUGAAUGAAGAGGGCUUCCGUCCAUCUCAAAAGGAUAUGGAUGACUAUCUGAAAGUAUGCAGGUUUCUUAUCAAACUUAACAACGAGAUACUAGGUGAAAGAAAUGCUGCCUACAAGGAAAGGUUGAGCAGCCUAGAGAAUUUAGUACUGAUCAUGGGGUGAUCGACGUGGACUACCGCGACCAGGUGGGCAUCGUGCUCUUCAACCACUCAGAGACGGACUUCACCGUGAAGCCCGGUGACCGCGUCAUAGAGAUGAUUAUCCAGGUGAUUGCAGCGCCGGAGGUCGCCGAGGUGGAGGACCUUGACGCCACCGUCCGGAGUCGUUGAGGUGGAGGACCUCGACCCCACUGUCUGGAGGUUGCCCAGGUGAAGGACCUCGACGCCUUGGUAGAUACAUCUAGAGAAGUGGUAUACUUAGGUUGGUGGUGGAAUGCUAGGGAAGAUACCUACCUUUCGGUGAUGUUUGUGUGCGUCUGAAGUAUUGAUCUCUUUGAAUUGAGAUGUUCAAUGUUGUAUCCAUGAAUGCUGCAAGUGCUAAGUAAGAAUGUAAGUGUUAAAAUGGUUGUGUGACCUUCAUUUAUUUUUCCCUGGAUGUGUCCUGAUUUGUAUCCAUGAAUAUUGCAUCUAUUAUUUUGAUUU